UACGUAGGGACCGAGCGUUGUCCGGAAUCAUUGGGCGUAAAGAGCGUGUAGGCGGCUCGGUAAGUCCGCUGUAAAAGUCCAGGGCUCAACCCUGGAAAGCCGGUGGAAACUGUCGAGCUAGAGUCCGGAAGAGGCGAGUGGAAUUCCUGGUGUAGCGGUGAAAUGCGCAGAUAUCAGGAGGAACACCAAUGGCGAAGGCAGCUCGCUGGGACGGUACUGACGCUGAGACGCGAAAGCGUGGGGAGCAAACAGG
rnacentral:rRNA from 1 species